rnacentral:rRNA from 1 species
AUUGAACGCUGGCGGCAUGCCUUACACAUGCAAGUCGAACGGCAGCACGGGAGCAAUCCUGGUGGCGAGUGGCGAACGGGUGAGUAAUGUAUCGGAACGUGCCCAGUCGUGGGGGAUAACGUAGCGAAAGCUACGCUAAUACCGCAUACGAUCUAUGGAUGAAAGCGGGGGAUCGCAAGACCUCGCGCGAUUGGGGCGGCCGACAUCAGAUUAGGUAGUUGGGGGGGUAAAGGCUCACCAAGCCGACGAUCUGUAGCUGGUCUGAGAGGACCAACGGCCACACUAGGACUGAGACACGGACGAGACUCAUACGGGGGGCAGCAGUGGGAAAUUUUGGACGAUGGGCGAAAGCCUGAUCCAGCAAUGCCGCGUGCAGGAUGAAGGCCUUCGGGUUGUAAACUGCUUUUGUACGGAACGAAACGGCGAACUCUAAUACAGUUUGCUAAUGAUGGUACCGUAAGAAUAAGCACCGGCUAACUACGUGCCAGCCGCCGCCGUAA